AAAUAUUGUCAUCUAACCAUGUUACUUGCAGCUGAAGCAAUCUACAGUCAAACAGCCAAAUCAGUCAUUAAACAGUGGAUGGUGGCCAUUCUUGAAGAAUUUGGGCACCAUGAUCAUUCAACAAGAGUUCAUAUGAGUUGUGACAUCAUUUUGGAUCAAGAUAUCAAGUGGUAGGGGCUUGGGAUUCAUCAGAACAUGGUUCAGUCAAGCAAAACCCUAGCAAAGUCAACUGAAGUCAACCUUGGUCAACUGAGC
rnacentral:lncRNA from 1 species